rnacentral:rRNA from 1 species
GUGCCAGCAGCCGCGGUAAUACGGAGGGGACUAGCGUUGUUCGGAAUUACUGGGCGUAAAGCGCGCGUAGGCGGAUUUGCAAGUCGGGGGUGAAAGCCCGAGGCUCAACCUCGGAACUGCCUUCGAUACUGCAAAUCUCGAGUCCGAGAGAGGUGAGUGGAAUUCCUAGUGUAGAGGUGAAAUUCGUAGAUAUUAGGAAGAACACCAGUGGCGAAGGCGGCUCACUGGCUCGGUACUGACGCUGAGGCGCGAAAGCGUGGGGAGCAAACAGGAUUAGAUACCCUGGUAGUCC